GGGGUCGACUGGUUUUGACAGCAAGUCGAAUUGAAUUGUAAGCAUGUGGAGAACUGGAGUAAUUCUCGUAAAUAAAAGGCUCCAAAACACUUACACGGCGAAGGAAACUACGCUCUUGCUGCAUAAUCUGAAUCAUAGUAAGAUUAGCCACGUUCCUACAAGGUAGGAAAGCAGGAUUUACCUCGAAAGCUCUGGUUUAUAGCGUUCGAUAUAGGUGAAUCGUAAAUUUAAACCUAGAAAUAGUUAAGCUUCGGGACUAUUUUGAAACUAAGAAGAUAAGCUUUGUGUUGCUGUUCUUGGCAUACCACACGGUCGAAAAUUUAAUCGAGAAAUAAACAUGUAGAAAGCUCUUUAGUUGCUUGUUUGGACCCGAGUUCGAUUCUCGGCGACUCCACAA
rfam:Flavobacterium psychrophilum JIP02/86 complete genome